rnacentral:lncRNA from 1 species
GCAGCCCAAUCUCUAGCAAAGGAUGAGCAAGGAGAGGAGCCACACUUACCUCGGUCCGACGAAGUGCUCCGGCGACCCUUCCGGCGAGGACUCGGUGGAGAAAGUCCGCGAGCAGCUCGGAUUAAUGCGCACGGCUCCAAGGUCUCUUCACCCGUGGGGAUCUUCACCGAAGGAAAGUGGUCUUCCUCCGCGGCCGGCCGGACCUCGGCGCCCAUCUCCUCUCCGACGAUCCCCUCCAACGCCGCCCCCCCCCUCCUCUCCCAUUCUCCUCUCUUCAUCCACGAUCGUGCCUAG